rnacentral:rRNA from 1 species
GGACCCGCACAAGCAGUGGAGCAUGUGGCUUAAUUCGAGGCAACGCGAAGAACCUUACCUGGUCUUGACAUGCCCGUCAUAGUUUUCCGAAAGGAAUUCGUCAGUUCGGCUGGACGGUGCACAGGUGCUGCAUGGCUGUCGUCAGCUCGUGUCGUGAGAUGUUCGGUUAAGUCCGGCAACGAGCGCAACCCUCGUUCCUAGUUGCCAGCGGGUAAUGCCGGGGACUCUAGGAAGACAAACCUCGUGUAGAGGUGGGAAGGUGGGGACGACGUCAAGUCAGUAUGGCCCUUACGACCAGGGCUGCACACGUGCUACAAUGCCCAGCACAAUGGGAUGCAACGCCGCGAGGUUGAGCAAAUCCACAAAACUGGGCCCAGUUCGGAUUGGAGUCUGCAACUCGACUCCAUGAAGUCGGAAUCGCUAGUAAUGAC